rnacentral:rRNA from 1 species
GACGAACGCUGGCGGCGUGCUUAACACAUGCAAGUCGAACGAUGAAGCCUUCGGGUGGAUUAGUGGCGAACGGGUGAGUAACACGUGGGUAAUCUGCCCUGCACUCUGGGAUAAGCCUUGGAAACGAGGUCUAAUACCGGAUAUCACAAUCUCUCGCAUGGGGGGUUGUUGAAAGUUCUGGCGGUGCAGGAUGAACCCGCGGCCUAUCAGCUUGUUGGUGGGGUAGUGGCCACCAAGGCGACGACGGGUAGCCGGCCUGAGAGGGUGACCGGCCACACUGGGACUGAGACACGGCCCAGACUCCUACGGGAGGCAGCAGUGGGGAAUAUUGCACAAUGGGCGAAAGCCUGAUGCAGCGACGCCGCGUGAGGGAUGACGGCCU